rnacentral:rRNA from 1 species
GAUGAACGCUGGCGGCGUGCCUAAUACAUGCAAGUCGAGCGAACGGACGAGAAGCUUGCUUCUUUGAUGUUAGCGGCGGACGGGUGAGUAACACGUGGAUAACCUACCUAUAAGACUGGGAUAACUUCGGGAAACCGGAGCUAAUACCGGAUAAUAUUUUGAACCGCAUGGUUCAAAAGUGAAAGACGGUCUUGCUGUCACUUAUAGAUGGAUCCGCGCUGCAUUAGCUAGUUGGUAAGGUAACGGCUUACCAAGGCAACGAUGCAUAGCCGACCUGAGAGGGUGAUCGGCCACACUGGAACUGAGACACGGUCCAGACUCCUACGGGAGGCAGCAGUAGGGAAUCUUCCGCAAUGGGCGAAAGCCUGACGGAGCAACGCCGCGUGAGUGAUGAAGGUCUUCGGAUCGUAAAACUCUGUUAUUAGGGAAGAACAUAUGUGUAAGUAACUGUGCACAUCUUGACGGUACCUAAUCAGAAAGCCACGGCUAACUACGUGCCAGCAGCCGCGGUAAUACGUAGGUGGCAAGCGUUAUCCGGAAUUAUUGGGCGUAAAGCGCGCGUAGGCGGUUUUUUAAGUCUGAUGUGAAAGCCCACGGCUCAACCGUGGAGGGUCAUUGGAAACUGGAAAACUUGAGUGCAGAAGAGGAAAGUGGAAUUCCAUGUGUAGCGGUGAAAUGCGCAGAGAUAUGGAGGAACACCAGUGGCGAAGGCGACUUUCUGGUCUGUAACUGACGCUGAUGUGCGAAAGCGUGGGGAUCAAACAGGAUUAGAUACCCUGGUAGUCCACGCCGUAAACGAUGAGUGCUAAGUGUUAGGGGGUUUCCGCCCCUUAGUGCUGCAGCUAACGCAUUAAGCACUCCGCCUGGGGAGUACGACCGCAAGGUUGAAACUCAAAGGAAUUGACGGGGACCCGCACAAGCGGUGGAGCAUGUGGUUUAAUUCGAAGCAACGCGAAGAACCUUACCAAAUCUUGACAUCCUUUGACAACUCUAGAGAUAGAGCCUUCCCCUUCGGGGGACAAAGUGACAGGUGGUGCAUGGUUGUCGUCAGCUCGUGUCGUGAGAUGUUGGGUUAAGUCCCGCAACGAGCGCAACCCUUAAGCUUAGUUGCCAUCAUUAAGUUGGGCACUCUAAGUUGACUGCCGGUGACAAACCGGAGGAAGGUGGGGAUGACGUCAAAUCAUCAUGCCCCUUAUGAUUUGGGCUACACACGUGCUACAAUGGACAAUACAAAGGGCAGCGAAACCGCGAGGUCAAGCAAAUCCCAUAAAGUUGUUCUCAGUUCGGAUUGUAGUCUGCAACUCGACUACAUGAAGCUGGAAUCGCUAGUAAUCGUAGAUCAGCAUGCUACGGUGAAUACGUUCCCGGGUCU